rnacentral:rRNA from 1 species
CAGUAGCCGCGGGAAUACGGAGGGUGCAAGCGUUAUCCGGAUUUAUUGGGUUUAAAGGGUCCGUAGGCGGAUCUGUAAGUCAGUGGUGAAAUCUCACAGCCUAACUGUGAAACUGCCAUUGAUACUGCAGGUCUUGAGUAAAUUUGAAGUGGCUGGAAUAAGUAGUGUAGCGGUGUAAUGCAUAGAUAUUACUUAGAACACCAAUUGCGAAGGCAGGUCACUAAGAUUUAACUGACGCUGAUGGACGAAAGCGUGGGGAGCGAACAGGAUUAGAUACCCCUGUAGUCCCUGUCUCUUAUAC